UUUCGGCUGACCUAUCCCUCUUUGGGACUCCGGUGUGUGAGUAGGGUACACAUAUCUAUUAUGCGUCUGCUGUACACGUGGUGUGCUCUGGCCUGUGUGCUACUGUUCACCGGGGAUGCAACUGCCUUUGGGUGGAGACGGAGACAGCACCGGGCCGGGAUCUGUGAUCGCAACCAUUUCGUCAAUGGCUGCACAUUGCCUGUCAAGUGGUUACCCUACAAGAACACGUUCAAAUCUGCUUGUAACAAACAUGAUGUUUGCUAUACAUGUGCUGCAGCUUAUGGAAUAUCAAGGGCAACAUGUGAUUACAAGUUUUACCACAAUAUGAGGGAAAUUUGCGGGAGACGGUGGCUUUGCAAAAAGGCGGCUAAAGCUUAUGUUUGGGGAACGAAGAAAUACGGAAGAAAAUAUUUCCAUCAACGAGCUUCACCCGGCUGCCGUGAUCAUUGGGUGAUACAGUGUCUGUGAUUGUGUGUUAUCACAUCACGCCAUGCAUUUCAUGCAUUCAAUAAAAUGAUAUUGGCAUCAA